rnacentral:lncRNA from 1 species
AAAUCGCAUAGCGACAAAAUCGCUUUGCAACGAUUUUUGCUGCACGGAUUAACGUCGCUAUGCGAGGCACCACUGUAUUAUUAUUUGUCCAGGUCAAAGAACAAUUGACUUGACUUCUUGUAUUUCCCUCUCCAUCUUUUAGAAUUCCAGACAGCCGAAAGUGCCACCGAGGCGCUUGCAGCCCUAGAAGAGCAGACCGCCCGAGGCAGCAAACUGCAGAGAGGCCAUCACCGCUUGCAGCCCUAGAAGAGCAGACCGCCCGAGGCAGCAAACUGCAGAGCCGGCAGGCCAUCACUUUGCCGUAUCUCCAUCGAUGGACAUCCUCUGUAAACCAAAAUGGCAGCCUCCUUGCGGCUGCACCAUCUCACCUUCACUCUCCCCUCCAGGAGGAAGUUUUAAAGAAAGCAAUGAAGGCAUUUGAUUGUAGAAUCCGAAAGCUGUACCAGCGCCUGCCCAGUCAUACCCUCUGUGUCGUUCUAUUGCCAGGCAAAGACAGGUAAAAAAAAACCCAUAGAUUUGUUUAUGGUUCCCCUUCCUUCCUUCCACCAUUCCUUUCUACUGAAAGUUAACAUUAUCUUCUGAAAAAGAAAGAAGUAUUGCCUAAACUUUGUGCACACAAUACAAGGUUUUAAUUUCUUUGCUUUUUUUACUUUGGGGUGGGAAAGCAUUUAAUAUUCAUGUCAUUUUUACAGUCUGUGUUGAGGGUAGCUGGCAGAAAAUAAGAUUCAGAAACGUUUCACAAGUAAACACUCUAGUCCUCCAGAGUUCACAAGCAAGACCCCAGCUGGCCCAUUUAGUCGUCAAGGAAGGCUGCUGACAUGAUCUGGAAUUGACCUUCCUCUGACACAUGGCUGUUCUAGGUCUUGUCCAGUUUGAGGAAACUACUAAAAGCUUUUCCAGUAUUGAUCAGGGAGAGAUGCUCAUGGAACAGAAAGAGGAAGCUACUUGUAAUGAGGGAUAAUACAGUGGUGCCUCGCUAGACGAUUGCCUCGUGGGACGAAAAACCCGCAAGACGAUUGGUUUUUGCAGUCACUAUGGUGCCUCGCAAGACGAUUUUUCUACGAUGCUCACUAUGGUGCCUCGCAAGAUGUUUUUUUCUACGAUCGUGCUUCGCAAGACUUUGUUUUUUUGAGACCGAUGAUUUGCAAAACUUUUUUUUUUGAGACCGAUGAUUUGCAAAACUUUUUUUUUUGAGACCGAUGCUUCAUAAGACUUUUUUUUAGACUGAUGCGUAGGGAACCUCACAAGACGACGAUUUUCGUGGAACGAAUUAAAAUCGUCUUGUGAGACACCACUGUACGUCUAGGUCAAGGAGGUCUCUUAUUAGCCUGUCCGCUCAAAAGGGAGAACCGUUGGAAGCUAGAUGCUUAUAGGGGGUUGUGUCGGGUGCCCACAAGUUGAACCCUAAACAUCCAGACCUCUGCGGCCAAGGAAAGAAGCAGCCAUUUGGACCUCUAACCUCAACCGUGUCAUACUCAUGGGUUGAAGGGGACAAGAAAA